rnacentral:rRNA from 1 species
AUUGAACGCUGGCGGCAUGCCUUACACAUGCAAGUCGAACGGUAACAGGUCUUCGGAUGCUGACGAGUGGCGAACGGGUGAGUAAUACAUUGGAACGUGCCUAGUAGUGGGGGAUAACUACUCGAAAGAGUGGCUAAUACCGCAUGAGAUCUACGGAUGAAAGCAGGGGAUCGCAAGACCUUGCGCUACUAGAGCGGCCGAUGGCAGAUUAGGUAGUUGGUGAGAUAAAAGCUUACCAAGCCGACGAUCUGUAGCUGGUCUGAGAGGACGAUCAGCCACACUGGGACUGAGACACGGCCCAGACUCCUACGGGAGGCAGCAGUGGGGAAUUUUGGACAAUGGGCGCAAGCCUGAUCCAGCAAUGCCGCGUGCAGGAUGAAGGCCUUCGGGUUGUAAACUGCUUUUGUACGGAACGAAAAGCCCUGGGUUAAUACCCUGGGGUCAUGACGGUACCGUAAGAAUAAGCACCGGCUAACUACGUGCCAGCCGCCGCAGUAA